CUGAUAUAAUUGUAUUUUGGUAAUAUGUAUAUAUAUGUUAAUGAAAUUUAUAUGUGGGAAUAGUAGAUGUAUAUAUGUUUUAUAAACAGUAGGGUAACGUGUACAUUUAUUGUGCCUGUAUAUGUAUAUAUAUAUACCCAUCGGAGCUGUAUUGAUGGAUUGGUGAAGGGGCAGGAUAGCACAGUGAUGGGUGAGGUGGGUUUAAUAAUAAUACUAGUGGAUAGGGUUUUAAGGGUUGUUGCUGCUGUGGGGGAGGACCCGCGCGCCGGUAACAGAGGGCCGUGUGCAAUACUAGAGGGGGCCACGAGCCGGUAACAGAGAGCCGUGUGCAAUACUAGAGGGGGCCACGAGCCGGUAACAGCGGGCCGUGUGCAAGAGAAAGGGUCCGCGAGCGGGUAGAUAUGUAUAUAUAAGGCGCUCCCGCCGGCGGACGUUAGACUGCAGAUCCCCCUCUCAGUGCUCGCACCUAGGUCUCCAGCGCUGCUAAGAGCUGUAGCACUGUAAACAUUACAGCAGCGGCAGGAGUAGCUUAGGGUGCGCAGCCAGAGAGGGCAAUUGGAAGGGAUAAAUAGACAAUGCGCCAGGAAGCUGCUGCUGACUGACCUUGUUAUCGCUGAGGUGUCAGGUGGAGAGGCGGAGAUCGCGCCUGGAGCCGCCGCUGUGGUGUUGUGCCGACGGUGAUGUUCGGGUGAGCGGCGGUGCAAGGCUGGAUCCAUCGGAGGUGAUGGCAUGGCGCCAUGGCAACACUGACGCCAACGGCAGAAUUAGCUUACCCUUCCCUCUAGAGGCAGAGCAGAAGCAGAGGCCCAAUAAGCAGUAGAGGGGCGGAGCCUGCCUGACAGUUGCUGAUCAGAGGAGGAGUCGGGGGAGCACUCAGAGCAGUACCGUUGUGCUGUGGAUAUAGAAUAAAAAAGGGAAGGCACUGCACAGACCAUCACUGCUAAGAAAAAUGGGGAAAGAUGGAGAUAUGACAUCCAGAGAAAAGGAUUUAAUAUAUGCCUGUUUCCCACCUAUAUGUGGUGAAAAGGAGACACAGAUGAUAGAGAUCAGAAGUGUUUCAAGCAAUAAAAAUGGGUAUUAACAUCA